GGCCUAACACAUGCAAGUCGAGCGGAAACGACACUAACAAUCCUUCGGGUGCGUUAAUGGGCGUCGAGCGGCGGACGGGUGAGUAAUGCCUAGGAAAUUGCCUUGAUGUGGGGGAUAACCAUUGGAAACGAUGGCUAAUACCGCAUAAUGCCUACGGGCCAAAGAGGGGGACCUUCGGGCCUCUCGCGUCAAGAUAUGCCUAGGUGGGAUUAGCUAGUUGGUGAGGUAAUGGCUCACCAAGGCGACGAUCCCUAGCUGGUCUGAGAGGAUGAUCAGCCACACUGGAACUGAGACACGGUCCAGACUCCUACGGGAGGCAGCAGUGGGGAAUAUUGCACAAUGGGCGAAAGCCUGAUGCAGCCAUGCCGCGUGUAUGAAGAAGGCCUUCGGGUUGUAAAGUACUUUCAGUUGUGAGGAAGGGGGUAACGUUAAUAGCUCUAUCUCUUGACGUUAGCAACAGAAGAAGCACCGGCUAACUCCGUGCCAGCAGCCGCGGUAAUACGGAGGGUGCGAGCGUUAAUCGGAAUUACUGGGCGUUAAGCGCAUGCAGGUGGUUCAUUAAGUCAGAUGUGAAAGCCCCGGGCUCAACCUCGGAACUGCAUUUGAACUGGUGAACUAGAGUACUGUAGAGGGGGGUAGAAUUUCACGUGUAGC
rnacentral:rRNA from 1 species